UUAGCGCGGUGGUCCCACCUGACCCCAUGCCGAACUCAGAAGUGAAACGCCGUAGCGCCGAUGGUAGUGUGGGGCCUACCCACGUCAGAGUAGGGAACUCCCAGGC
rnacentral:rRNA from 1 species